rnacentral:rRNA from 1 species
CCUACGGGUGGCAGCAGUGAGGAAUAUUGGUCAAUGGGCGCGAGCCUGAACCAGCCAAGUCGCGUGAGGGAAGACGGUCCUAUGGAUUGUAAACCUCUUUUGUCGGGGAGCAAAAGACGCCACGCGUGGCUUUCCUAGAGUACCCGAAGAAAAAGCAUCGGCUAACUCCGUGCCAGCAGCCGCGGUAAUACGGAGGAUUCGAGCGUUAUCCGGAUUUAUUGGUUUUAAAGGGUGCGCAGGCGGAAGAUCAAGUCAGCGGUAAAAUUGAGAGGCUCAACCUCUUAGAGCCGUUGAAACUGGUUUUAUUGAGUGAGCGAGAAGUAUGCGGAAUGCGUGGUGUAGCGGUGAAAUGCAUAGAUAUCACGCAGAACUCCGAUUGAGAAGGCAGCAUACCGGCGCUCAACUGACGCUGAUGCACGAAAGUGUGGGUAUCGAACAGGAUUAGAUACCCCAGUAGUC